ACGUAGGGAGCAAGCGUUGUCCGGAAUUACUGGGUGUAAAGGGUGCGUAGGCGGGUAUGCAAGUCAUAUGUGAAAUACCGGGGCUCAACUCCGGGACGGCAUAAGAAACUGCAUAUCUUGAGUACAGGAGAGGUAAGCGGAAUUCCUAGUGUAGCGGUGAAAUGCGUAGAUAUUAGGAGGAACACCAGUGGCGAAGGCGGCUUACUGGACUGAAACUGACGCUGAGGCACGAAAGCGUGGGGAGCAAACAG
rnacentral:rRNA from 1 species